ensembl:lncRNA
GGCUUGAGGAUCUCCCUCCUGAGGGAAGAUUCUCUCUGAGAGUCUUACAUAUGGGGGCUCGUCCGGGAUCGGAGAUCCUCUGCCUAGAGACCACCGACCACCCACCGGGAGGUCUUCUUUACCACUGAGGAAAGACGGAAUCCUACUGGAGGCCAGAAAGAAUGUUCCAGACAUGGAUGGAAGACCCUCACUCCUGACUGUUGACUUGAAUACCCCUGAAGCCCAUCAGCAGAGGGGCCUGCUGACAUCUGAGGGCAAGAAAAAAAAGAGAUUCUGGCUAUGUUAAGGGCCCUCCAUGACCCAGCCAGGCCGAG